AUUUUAGGUGCUUGCACUUGAAAGACUUAACAUUGAGACGAGUGGCGAACUGGUGAGUAACACGUGGGUAACCUGCCCUUGAAGUAGGGGAUAACACUUGGAAACAGGUGCUAAUACCGUAUAACAACCAAAACCACCUGGUUUUGGUUUAAAAGACGGCUUCGGCUGUCACUUUAGGAUGGACCCGCGGCGUAUUAGCUUGUUGGUAAGGUAACGGCCUACCAAGGCGAUGAUACGUAGCCGACCUGAGAGGGUAAUCGGCCACAUUGGGACUGAGACACGGCCCAAACUCCUACGGGAGGCAGCAGUAGGGAAUCUUCCACAAUGGACGAAAGUCUGAUGGAGCAACGCCGCGUGAGUGAUGAAGGGUUUCGGCUCGUAAAACUCUGUUGUUGGAGAAGAACAGGUGUCAGAGUAACUGUUGACAUCUUGACGGUAUCCAACCAGAAAGCCACGGCUAACUACGUGCCAGCAGCCGCGGUAAUACGUAGGUGGCAAGCGUUGUCCGGAUUUAUUGGGCGUAAAGCGAGCGCAGGCGGUUUCUUAGGUCUGAUGUGAAAGCCUUCGGCUUAACCGGAGAAGUGCAUCGGAAACCAGGAGACUUGAGUGCAGAAGAGGACAGUGGAACUCCAUGUGUAGCGGUGAAAUGCGUAGAUAUAUGGAAGAACACCAGUGGCGAAGGCGGCUGUCUGGUCUGUAACUGACGCUGAGGCUCGAAAGCAUGGGUAGCGAACAGGAUUAGAUACCCUGGUAGUCCAUGCCGUAAACGAUGAGUGCUAAGUGUUGGAGGGUU
rnacentral:rRNA from 1 species